GACUUUGGUAACUGACUGCAACAUCUGGAAUCCCACUGGUUGCCAGGAUUGAGUCAGCUGAUCUGGCUGGUGAGGUGGGUGUCACAUUCCUCCCUCACACCUCCAUCUGUGUUCCACUUGGAGCUACAUGCUUAAGAUGGCAGCCUUCACUGAGUAGAAAGAGAAUGUUCCUUGGUCAGUUCCUCAGUAGCUACACUCCCCUGCUAGAUCCUCCACACAAGCCUGCUGAAGGUGUUUUGUUGUUGUUAUUUUUGUUGUUGUUGAAA
rnacentral:sRNA from 1 species